rnacentral:rRNA from 1 species
AUUGAACGCUGGCGGCAGGCCUAACACAUGCAAGUCGAACGGUAGCACAGAGAGCUUGCUCUCGGGUGACGAGUGGCGGACGGGUGAGUAAUGUCUGGGAAACUGCCCGAUGGAGGGGGAUAACUACUGGAAACGGUAGCUAAUACCGCAUAACGUCGCAAGACCAAAGUGGGGGCCCUUCGGGCCUCACACCAUCGGAUGUGCCCAGAUGGGAUUCGCUAGUAGGUGGGGUAAUGGCUCACCUAGGCGACGGUCCCUAGCUGGUCUGAGAGGAUGACCAGCCACACUGGAACGGAGACACGGUCCAGACUCCUACGGGAGGCAGCAGUGGGGAAUAUUGCACAAUGGGCUCAAGCCUGAUGCAGCCAUGCCGCGUGUAUGAAGAAGGCCUUCGGGUUGUAAAGUACUUUCAGCGGGGAGGAAGGCGGUGAAGUUAAUAACUUCACCGAUUGACGUUACCCGCAGAAGAAGCACCGGCUAACUCCGUGCCAGCCGCCGCCGUAA